UCAGCUGUCGUACAGACAGCAACUUUGGACAGCAGCGUUUGUUUAAUAAUUGGCUGGCGCUUCCACUUAAAAAGAACGCACGUGGAGCCAGUCUCUUGCUCAGCUAAUGCGCCCUGAAAGAGCAAACAGCACGUUCAUUUAGACAGAUCGUGGACGCUGCGGUUUGGGAACAUAAACGGAAUGAAAAUUAAGCGGAUGGAAGCAGCACUUUUACAAGGACGACUCACCUAGACACGCGGGGAAUCACGAAGAGUUGUACUUCUAGAUGUCAAACUUCAAGCUGUUCCCAAUGAAGUGUAAGAACCUGAAGAUUAAAUAAUGUUUUCCCCUGAAAAAGUGACAUGGUUUCUGCAUUUAAGUAAAGUUAUCCUAAUAGGUGGCUUUGUGCAAAGUUUAAUCGACAGUCCAGCUGCUUCUCUCCAGAUUCCACCUGGGAACUUUACUUUAUUCUGGAAUAUUUCCAGCAACAAAGCUGGAUGGAUGCAGUUACUUUCAACAUACUUGGACGAGAAUGGGCACAAGGAAGAAACAUGGAAUUCCAAUUUGACUGGCUUGGCUGACAUUGAGAUAUCGAACGGGGACAAUUCCAGUGUUUAUACAUGCAAUUUUGCAACUACAGGAAGGAAAGGUUUCUGCUUGAACAUCCUGUGUUGGGUUGAAGGAAACCUGGAACAUUUAAUUUGUAAUUUGAAGCCCAGCAAAAUACGCUCUGGCAAAAACAUGUCAUUAACAAUUGAACUACUGCAUGCAAAGUCUGAUGUAUCCCUAAGAGAGUUUUCUGAGAGGUAUGAAAAAGAUAGUUUGACUCCUAAACAAAAACCCUGUUACAGAAAUGAUACCAUCAACUGUGAUAUACAUCCUCUGAACCUAAAUGACACCUACUCCCUCUCAGUGAAAUUAUACAUUGGUCGAAGCUCAUUUGAGUCACCCAUGAUGGAAGUUAAUCCAAUGCAUAUUGUGAAACCUCAUCCUCCACAAAGUCUUCAGUAUGAUUUGAACAUGAACUGGCAAUUAGAGCUAAGAUGGGAGAAACCUGAGCCCACACCAUAUGAAUUACAGUAUGAAGUUCGCUGCUCUGCAGAUGGAGAACAUGUCAUGAGCAAAAAGGGUUUGGUUGACACAUUUGUGGAUCUCCAUGGUUUAAAAGCUGGUGUCAACUAUACAACAGAUGUACGCUGUAAACGUCUAAGGGGGCCUGGAUAUUGGAGUGACUGGAGCAAUCCUGUUUAUGUAAAUGUGCAAGAUGUAACUUAUAUCCCUCCCAAAGUCCUCACUACAGCUGGCUCCAAUGUAACGGUUAACUGCAUAUUCAACAACAGAAAUCUAAAGAAAAAUAAAAUUGUAUGGUGGCUAAACACAUCAGAGAAAAUACCUGAACAGCUAUAUUCAGUCGUUGAUGAUCAUGUGAGCACCAUUACUCUUGUGAAUAUCAGACCUUCAAAACCUAAAACCUUUGACCUGCUACAGUGCUGUGAGCAGUAUGAAGAACACUCAGACUGCAACUACCGAUAUGCUGAAAUUUAUGCUAUUGAUGCCAACUUUGAAAUUUCCUGUGAAACGAAUGAAAAUGUCAAAAAGAUGAUUUGCAAAUGGAACCCACAUCUAACUCCACUGCCCGCAGGAAGCAAAAUAAAAUUCCUAUAUAAGAAACUGGUUUCAUGUGUUUCAAAAGAGGAAAUCAAAGGUUUUAAUGUUGAGGAGUGUCAUCUUACCCUUGACUCAUCUUAUCAGUGCACUUUUCAAUCACUUCACCCGAUUCUUUGCCACAUGAUGUGGAUUGAAGUUCACCAUAACAUGGGAAUAGUAAGAUCAAACCCAACCUAUGUUACUCCAAUGGAUGUCGUAAGGCCACAUCCUCCCUUUAAUAUUAAAGCAGUGAUCACUCAAGCAACAGGACUGCUCAAUAUUAGCUGGGAAAGAACACAGCUUCCAACAUAUGACCUUCAAUACGAGGUUAACUUCAAAGAAGAUGGGAAAAACAGUAAUUGGAAGACUCUCAAUUCUGGAAUUAAGCCUUCAGUCCUGACACAAGUAACAGAUCCUUGCGUUGUUUAUGUAGUUCAGCUCCGCUGUAGGAGGUACCAAGGUCCUGGAUAUUGGAGUGCAUGGAGCAGUGCAGUAAACACUGAAGUUCAUGAUGUUAAGGCUCCUACCAAAGGUCCUGAUUUUUGGAGAAUUAUCCAUGAAGACAAAGGAAACCCACAGGUUAAUAUCACCUUGCUACUGAAGACUGUAAGAAAAGAAGAUGCUCUUUGCUCAGUGGAAGGCUUCAUUAUUGAGCAUCACAUGGCUAAAGGGGUGAUGUGGUCAUCUGAAUGUCUAAGCAAUACAACUGUGUAUACUUUUCCAUGGAAGGAUGAUAUUCAUAUGGUAACUGUUAAAGCCUACAACUCACUGGGAUCAUCCAAAUCAAACUACAAUUUAACUUUAUCUAGCACCUCAAGAAAAGUCCAGUAUAUUCAGUCAUUCAGUGCCUCUUUGAUCAAUAAUUCCUGUGUGCUGUUGUCAUGGGAGUACAUGCCAAGUAGUCUACAUCUGGAUUCAUUUGUAGUUGAAUGGAGAAAUCAAGAGGAAGAGGAAGGCAGAUUGAAGUGGAUCAGAGUACCACCCCAGCAGCACCAAGUAUACAUAUCAGAUUCUUUGUUUGUUUUGAGAGAGUGCAAGUUUACAGUGUACCCCAUAUUCAGAAAUGGUGAAGGCCAGUCAGUGACGACCUUUGUUAAUUAUAAAGAUACCAGGUGGAAGAUAAAGGGUGAAAGAGCAGCCUAUAUACUUCUGUUUAUAGUUGCCUUUUUGUCCAUUUUGCUCUUUGCAACACUGGCAAUUUCCCAGCACCAAAUGAAAAAGCUUGUUUGGAAGGAUGUACCUAACCCAAACAAUUGCUCGUGGGCUCAAGGAAUUGAUUUCAGAACAGUGGAAACCAUAGAAAACUUCUUUACGCCUAAGCAGAGACAUCCCACUGGACCACUUUUCUUGGAAUCUGAACAGAUUUCUGAGGCUGUUAUUGUGGAAGACAGUGCAGAGGAAAACUCCCUUGGUGCUGAUGUAUUAGUACUACCAGUUUGUGGUCAAGAACUGGAAAUGAAUUCUUCUAAUUCUGGUAGUUUUUGCUCUACCAAAAGAGCUGUAAUUGAAAAGGAAGUGUAUCUGGAAGGCUCUAGGCAGUCCAAAAUUGAGUACGCUACAAUCCUCGUUCCAAAGGAUCCAUGUGAGCUCAGUGUCCAGCUGAAAAGCAGUAGUAGUUUUUCAGAUGAGGGGAACUUUUCCGCUAACAAUUCUGUUAUUUCAGGAUCCAUCCCCAGCAGCCUAUGGGACACAGAUAAUCGGUCAAGCCUCUGCUUAACUCCAAUAAAUCAGCAUAUUUCAUCUUCUUUCAAUUCCUCUGAGGGAUUUUCAGAAGCAUCAGAUCGGGAGGACAGUCUUGAAGAGGAACAGAACCCAGUGCUGGAUCUUUACUAUCUUGGGCAGAGGCCAAAUAAUGCAAUCAUUGAUGUGACAUCUUCAGAUAGGAAAGAUGAGACAUGCCCUGAAGCCAAGCCUUUGUUGAACUACCUGUCAGCUCAAAACGAAAACUGGAAUAAAAAAGACUUACAUGAGAAUAGUAUUAGACUCUAUAUGCCCCAGUUUCGAGGUGCUUCAACCUCCAAUAGGUUCUAUAAAAUAGCCAAAACACACUGAAAACACAACAUCUCUUGGCUGUCUCUUGGAACUUAAUGCCCACUAGCUGAAGAGCAGAGAUGGUCAGUUUUAAAGGCAGUACUUACUCUAAACAAGAGUCAGUGCUUCAGUUUUUGCCUCAUUCUUAAUGGCCUUAACACGUUUUUGCAAGCAGUGAGGUAUUUUAUUUGGGCACAGUGAAGGAUUUGUAGCUUUGGGGUAUUUCUUUUUCAAAACCUUUUCUUUGUGCAAAAUGGUGGUGGCAAAAUCUGCAGAGCAACAUACAGAGUUUUAGCAGUUGUAAAAACAAUUGUCCCAGUCCACGUUAAUUUACAGUCUUUAUUAUGUAUUCCCUUUAUGAAUACAUUUGAAAACAAAGACAAUAAGAAUGCAGCCAUUGAGGUAAAGUAAGAGAAAAUAAAUCACGUAGUAGAAGAAUUUUAUUCCCUGAUUUUUUGGGAGUGUUUAGUGAAAUUGACUUUACCCAGGGGCAGGUGGAUCUCAGGUUUGUUUCCUGGACAUACGUUUUCGCCUCAUUGCACCUUACAUGAAGCUAGUCCUAGCACAUUUCCUCAAAAUGUGACAGUGACAUCUGUCAACCAGGAGCAAAAGGUGAAGCAAGUUUUUUUUGUUGGAUUUUUGAUUUGGAGGUAUGUGGACUAGGGUUGUAGUGCUAAGUGAACUAGGAAGCUGAGCAAUGGGGUAGCUCAAAGUAUGUAAAGGAAUGAUAUCUACAGAAGACCAGAAUGUUUCUAGUUUGCCUUUACGGAAAUUUGUAAUGGGGAAAGGUAACAUACAUCUAGAUUUAAGGCAGAAAAACAUUAGAUUUAUUAAAAACCUAACCUGUGUGUCAGGACAGAUUUCACAUUAAAACAAAAAGAUGUAAAAUAUUAAACAAUACACUAUGUUGAAUGAUGUAUUGUUAAUGUUAUCCUGUGUUUUUAAAGAUGAUCUUGGUUUAACCUGAAUUUUUGUAUGUUACUAAGCAGAAAAUUUAUAUGCUGCUCAUAUCAUUUGGGACUUGAGAGCCAAAGUAUUUCUGUUCAGCAUGGGUUCAUUUUUUUUGUGAAUGUUGGAAACUUAGGCAGUCUUCAAGGUACCCAGGAGGUGCCCAGUGCUUGGCUCUCACACGUAACAUGCUGACAAUUUUAAGCCUAGACUUUCUAGGUUGUGAGUAUCUUCAGAAACCAGCAUGUUACAGGACCUCCACCAUGAAGUAUGGACAGGUCCAUUUUGAUUGCAAGUAGUGCAAAGAUAAAAAAAAAUCUUGUCAGUGCCUUACUGUUCACCAGGGCACUCAUCAGAAUUUACAGUACCAGAGUAUGUCCAUUUUAGCUAAAAUCUGCUGUAUUCUUUAUAUCUCUCAUUUAUGCAUACAGAGUCUGCAAUUAAUCUUCAGCAUUUUGGCCUUUCCAGGAUCAAGGAAAUGCUCAAUGUGAAAUAUGGCAUGUGCACCAAGCCUCCACAUUACUGAGGCUCUUCUUCAGUGCUGUGAAAUAACAACAUCCGAUAGAUAAAAGAGUCUGUGAGUAUGCAUACAGUGGCAAGCAUUUGAAAAGCUCUUUUCUUUAACUUAUGUUGCUGAUGAAUGGUUAUAUAGCCAUACAGCAAGAAAAUAUAAAUGGUUUGCUUUCCUGUGGUGCCUCAAAAUUUGUAAGCAAGUGCUCUGUAAAACUUGUAUUGGCUACACUUCUCUGGGUGUUUUGUAUACUUAUUUUGUCCAGACCGCAGCAAUUGAAUGUGUCUGAUUGGAAACAUGAAUCAUAUCUAAUUAUUGUCUCAAAGUGAUGCCAACAGCACAUAGAAUGCAACUUUACAGCUACUUGCAUAUAGAUAUUUUUCUAUUGUAUAUUUUGUGAACUCAAUAAAAUAUUUAUUGUGAAA